AGAACGAACGCUGGCGGCAGGCUUAACACAUGCAAGUCGAACGCUCGUGAGCGAUCACGGGAGUGGCAGACGGGUGAGUAACGCGUGGGAACAUACCCUUUGGUUCGGGAUAACUCAGGGAAACUUGAGCUAAUACCGGAUACGCCCCUGGAUGAAAGUUUGGGGGAAAGAUUGAUUGCCGGAGGAUUGGCCCGCGUUCGAUUAGCUAGUUGGUGAGGUAACGGCUCACCAAGGCGACGAUCGAUAGCUGGUCUGAGAGGAUGAUCAGCCACAUUGGGACUGAGACACGGCCCAAACUCCUACGGGAGGCAGCAGUGGGGAAUAUUGGACAAUGGGCGCAAGCCUGAUCCAGCCAUGCCGCGUGAGUGAUGACGGCCUUAGGGUGUAAAGCUCUUUCGCUCGGGACGAUAAUGACGGUACCGAGAUAAGAGCCCCGGAUAACUCGCGCCAGCAGCCGC
rnacentral:rRNA from 1 species